rnacentral:rRNA from 1 species
AACGUAGGAGGCGAGCGUUAUCCGGAUUUACUGGGCGUAAAGCGUGUGCAGGCGGUCUGGCAAGUUGGAUGUGAAAGCUCCUGGCUCAACUAGGAGAGGUCGUUCAAAACUACCGGACUAGAGUGUAUCAGAGGAAGAUGGAAUUCCCGGUGUAGUGGUGAAAUGCGUAGAUAUCGGGAGGAACACCAGUGGCGAAAGCGAUCUUCUGGGAUAGUACUGACGCUCAGACACGAAAGCUAAGGUAGCGAACGGG